AUACGGAGGGGACUAGCGUUGUUCGGAAUUACUGGGCGUAAAGCGUGCGUAGGCGGUUUGCUAAGUCAGAUGUGAAGGCCCCGGGCUUAACCUGGGAACUGCAUUUGAUACUGGCAGACUAGAGUAUGAUAGAGGGGGGUAGAAUUCCUGGUGUAGCGGUGAAAUGCGUAGAUAUCAGGAGGAAUACCAGUGGCGAAGGCGGCCCCCUGGAUCAAUACUGACGCUGAGGUACGAAAGCGUGGGGAGCGAACAGGAUUAGAAACCCUUGUAGUCC
rnacentral:rRNA from 1 species